rnacentral:rRNA from 1 species
UACGUAGGGUGCAAGCGUUGUCCGGAUUUAUUGGGCGUAAAGAGCUCGUAGGCGGUCUGUCACGUCGGCUGUGAAAACCCGAGGCUCAACCUCGGGCCUGCAGUCGAUACGGGCAAACUAGAGUACUGCAGGGGAGACUGGAAUUCCUGGUGUAGCGGUGAAAUGCGCAGAUAUCAGGAGGAACACCGGUGGCGAAGGCGGUUCUCUGGGCAUUACCUGACGCUGAGGAGCGAAAGUGUGGGGAGCGAACAGG